GAUGAACGCUGGCGGCGUGCCUAAUACAUGCAAGUCGAGCGAACAGAUGAGGAGCUUGCUCCUCUGACGUUAGCGGCGGACGGGUGAGUAACACGUGGAUAACCUCCCUAUAAGACUGGGAUAACUUCGGGAAACCGGAGCUAAUACCGGAUAAUAUAUUGAACCGCAUGGUUCAAUAGUGAAAGUCGGUUUUGCUGUCACUUAUAGAUGGAUCCGCGCCGCAUUAGCUAGUUGGUAAGGUAACGGCUUACCAAGGCGACGAUGCGUAGCCGACCUGAGAGGGGGAUCGGCCACACUGGAACUGAGACGCGGACAAGACUCCUACGGGAGGCAGCAGUAGGGAACCUGCCGCAAUGGGCGAAAGCAUGACGGAGCAACGCCGCGUGAGUGAUGAAGGUCUUCGGAUCGUAAAACUCUGUUAUUAGGUAAGAACAAAUGUGUAAGUAACUAUGCACGUCUUGACGGUACCGAAUAAGAAAGCCACGGCUAACUACGUG
rnacentral:rRNA from 1 species